CACCUCGCCGGCUGCUUUGUCACCGCUGCCACCAUCUCCAGUAAGCCCUUCUUUUUCCUCUUCCUUUCCGGCCUAGGAAUCAUUACCUUAGCACGAUAGGCUAUGCCUUUUUUUUUUCUUUUCUGUUGAAUCCCCUUUCAUCAUUGGCCGAAGUGCCAUCUCUAGUCAUCAUUGCACCACUAUCAUUGAUCAAUUUGGCUGUCUCACAAUCGACCCCACCCUUUGGUCACCUUAAACCCUGAGAGGCUUUGGGUUCAGCCAAGAAAGAAAGUAAGAAACGAGAGAGAGAGAAACAAAGAAAAGAAGAGGAAGAAAGAGAGAGAGAUUUAAAUUUUAAUGAAUCUAUUGGACCCAACUUGAUUUUACUUUGGAUCAACCGCAAAGAUCUGACUUGAGAAAUUGAUCCAAAUCUAGACCUAAAUUAGGCUAAAAUGAGAAACUCUUACCAUUCAUCUCAAUUUUUCUCAAAUUAAGGGCUAAUUAAACUUGCAAUUUAUUUGUACUCGAGCCUUCUUCACCAGAAGAAUAUCAGAUCUAGGGAUCGGACUCAGAAGAUUAUAGAGUUUUGGAUCUGAUCAAUGAUAAAUUUUAUUUUAUCUCUGAAUUUAUUUUUAUAUAUAUUCAUGUGUUUAAAAAGUAGAUUUUAUAUAUAAAAAAUUUAAAAAUUAUUAAAGUUUGAAAGUAUCUAUGUAUGUAUAAAAAAUAAUUUAAAAGUGUUGGAUCAAGCAUAAUAUCACCUCUGCAUGAUAUAAGAUUUGAAAAGAGAUAAUUUUUUAUUUUAAUAUUACAUGAUUUUCAGAAAUGAAAAUUAUAUAUGUUCAUCUUUGCAUGAAUUUUUGAAUAAAAAUUAUUUUGUUACUUCUUUGGAGGAUGUGAUAAUUUGAGUUGAUAUUAUUAUAAAAUUAAGUAUGAUUAUUUAUGAGAAAGUGAUUAUGAUGAAAUUAUGAAAAAACUCUCUAAUUAGACAAUGAUUUAGGUCUAACUAAUAGAACUGAUCGUUGGCCACACGUUAGAAACGUAUUUUUUCUAGGCCUAUUGGAGUUUCAUAGUUUCAUACAUGUAAAAAUUUUUUCAAAAUAAGAAUACACUAAAUUUUAAAAUUUUUAGAUUAAAUCUAAUUCAAUCUAAUAUGCAUAAGAUCAAAUCUUCAAACUAUAAACAGGAUUAUCAUAUGUGAGAUAGGAUUCAGAUACAGAAAUCAAAUAGAGAAAAAUAAAUAAAAAAUAUACCUUAGUAUGGAUCAAUCUUUAUCAUGAAUUGAUGAUUAUGGAUAUCUUCUGAAGGUCUCUUGUAGCCGUACAAGUAUCCGACCUCUACGGAUAUUCAUACGAGACUCUGAUCUGAUCAGAAGCUUUUUGAUCUCACCAGAGUGCUAGUUUCCUUACAGAGAUCGCAUCUUGACAGUUGAAAAUAUUUUUUUCUCUCAAGACACUCUUAGAAAAGAAGAAGAUGAUAGGAGGAUCUUGAUCUCUAGGUUAGAGAUCAUGAGAAGAACCAUUUUUUCUCUUUUCUUCCUAAAAUUCAUGUACCAAAUCUCUACAAUAGAGAUGUAAAAAUUUUUAUCUAAUUUUUGAACAAAGAGAAGAGGAGACACCCAUAUCUAAACAUGGAUAAAAAAGAGGGAGAGAUGUCCUAACAACCAAUACUUGAUUGUUGGUAAGAAAGAAGAGAUAACCAUGAACUUACCUCACUUCCUCCACCCUCACGUCGCACCUCUCUCCCUUUGAAUUUUCCAUGCACAAAUCUCCUCUAAUUUUGGCAUCAAAUCUGAUCUCUA
rnacentral:lncRNA from 1 species